rnacentral:rRNA from 1 species
UACGGGGGGGGCAAGCGGUUGUUCGGAAUUACGUGGGCGUAAAGGGCUACGGUAGGCGGCCAACUAAGUCGGAUGUGAAAUCCCCAGGCCUUAACCUGGGAACUGCAUCCGAUACUGGAUGGCUUGAAUCCGGGAGAGGGAUGCAGAAUUCCAGGUGUAGCGGUGAAAUGCGUAGAUAUCGUGAGGAAUGACCAGAGGCGAAGG